rnacentral:rRNA from 1 species
AUACGGAAGGUCCGGGCGUUAUCCGGAUUUAUUGGGUUUAAAGGGAGCGCAGGCGGAGAUGCAAGCGUGACGUCAAAUUUCGGGGCUCAACCCCGUCUCGCGUCGCGAACUGCGUCCCUUGGUUGCGGGAAGGGGAGGCGGAACUCGUGGGGUAGCGGUGGAAUGCAUAGAUAUCACGAAGAACUCCGAUCGCGAAGGCAGCCUUCCGGCCCGUCAACGACGCUCAUGCUCGAAGGUGCGGGUAUCAAACAGGAUUAGAUACCCUGGUAGUCCGCACAGUAAACGAUGGACACCCGCGGUUUGGCCUGUAUGGCUGAGCCGCCAAGCGAAAGCGUUAAGUGUCCCACCUGGGGAGUACGCCGGCAACGGUGAAACUCAAAUGAAUUGGCGGGG